GCCUUAGUAACUGCGAGUGAAGCGGCAAAAGCUCAAAUUUGAAAUCUGGCACCUUUGGUGUCCGAGUUGUAAUUUGGAGAGACAUCUUCGGUUUGAACGCUGUCCGAAGUUCCUUGGAACAGGACGUCACAGAGGGUGAGAAUCCCGUACGUGGAUGGCUGUUUCAUUCCAUGUGAAGUGUCUUCGACGAGUCGAGUUGUUUGGGAAUGCAGCUCAAAAUGGGUGGUAAAUGUCAUCUAAAGCUAAAUAUAGGCGAGAGACCGAUAGCGCACAAGUAGAGUGAUCGAAAGAUGAAAAGCACUUUGAAAAGAGAGUUAAAAAGUACGUGAAAUUGUUGAAAGGGAAGCGCUUGAGACCAGACUCAAUCCGUGGUGAUCAACAGUGCUUCUGCGCUGUGCACUUGCCACUCUUUGGGACAGCAUCGGUUCGAAUGGUGGGAUAAAGACUUGAGGAAUGUAGCUCCCUUCGGGGAGUGUUAGAGCCUCAGGUGUAAUGCCAUCAACUCUGACCGAGGACCGCGCUUUGGCUAGGAUGCUGUCAUAAUGGUCUUCAGCGACCCGUCUUGAAACACGGACCAAGGAGUCUAACAUCUAUGCGAGUGUUCGGGUGGAAAACCCUUGCGCGAAAUGAAAGUGAACGGAGGUGGGAACCUUUCAGGGGCACCAUCGACCGAUCCUGAUGUCUUCGGAUGGAUUUGAGUAUGAGCAUAGCUGUUGGGACCCGAAAGAUGGUGAACUAUGCCUGAAUAGGGUGAAGCCAGAGGAAACUCUGGUGGAGGCUCGCAGCGGUUCUGACGUGCAAAUCGAUCGUCAAAUUUGGGUAUAGGGGCGAAAGACUAAUCGAACCAUCUAGUAGCUGGUUCCUGCCGAAGUUU
rnacentral:rRNA from 1 species